AGAGUUUGAGUCCUCGGCUCAGGAUGAACGCUGGCGGCGUGCCUAACACAUGCAAGUCGAACGAAGCAUGCAGGAGAAGCCUCGGGGCGGGCGCCUGGAUGACUGAGUGGCGGACGGGUGAGUAACGCGUGGGCAACCUGCCCCAUACAGGGGGAUAACAGCCGGAACGGCUGCUAAUACCGCAUAAACCAGGGAGGCGCAUGCCUUUGUGGGGAAAGCUCCGGCGGUAUGGGAGGGGCCCGCGUCUGAUUAGCUUGUUGGCGGGGGCAGCGGCCCACCAAGGCGACGAUCAGUAGCCGGCCUGAGAGGGCGGACGGCCACAUUGGGACUGAGACACGGCCCAAACUCCUACGGGAGGCAGCAGUGGGGGAUAUUGCACAAUGGGGGGAAACCCUGAUGCAGCGACGCCGCGUGGGCGAAGAAGUAUUUCGGUAUGUAAAGCCCUAUCAGCAGGGAAGAAGAAAUGACGGUACCUGAGUAAGAAGCACCGGCUAAAUACGUG
rnacentral:rRNA from 1 species